GUAGAACACAAGCUGCUGCCACGGAUAAUUGCUGGUUCAAGUGUCGGAUCGAUUAUGUGCUCCAUAGUUGCGACUCGAUCUUGGCCUGAGCUCCAGAGUUUUUUCGAAGACUCCUGGCACUCCUUGCAAUUUUUCGAUCAGUUAGGUGGAAUUUUUACUAUUUUCAGGAGAGUCAUGACCCAGGGUGCUGUACAUGAAAUCAGACAGCUGCAGGUACUUUUACGCAAUCUCACGAAUAAUCUUACUUUCCAAGAAGCCUAUGACAUGACUGGUAGAGUUCUCGGGAUUACUGUUUGCUCCCCUAGGAAACAUGAACCUCCUAGAUGCUUGAAUUACUUGACUUCACCUCAUAUUGUUAUAUGGAGUGCUGUGACUGCUUCUUGUGCCUUUCCUGGUCUCUUCGAAGCUCAAGAACUGAUGGCAAAGGAUAGAAGUGGAGAUCUUGUUCCAUAUCAUCCACCAUUUCAUUUGGGACCUGAUGACACUUCUGGUGCAUCUUCU
rnacentral:misc_RNA from 1 species